rnacentral:tRNA from 1 species
AAAUAAGAAAUAAAAAUUUAUAAUUAGUUUCGACCUAAUCUUUGAUGAUAGCUCAUCCUUAUUUA